rnacentral:rRNA from 1 species
GACGAACGCUGGCGGCGUGCUUAACACAUGCAAGUCGAACGAUGAAGCCCAGCUUGCUGGGUGGAUUAGUGGCGAACGGGUGAGUAACACGUGAGCAACGUGCCCGAAACUCUGGAAUAACUACCGGAAACGGUGGCUAAUACUGGAUAUGUGCCAGGGAGGCAUCUCCUCUGGUUGGAAAGAUUUUUCGGUUUCGGAUCGGCUCACGGCCUAUCAGCUUGUUGGUGGGGUAAUGGCCUACCAAGGCGACGACGGGUAGCCGGCCUGAGAGGGUGACCGGCCACACUGGGACUGAGACACGGCCCAGACUCCUACGGGGGCAGCAGUGGGGAAUAUUGCACAAUGGGCGCAAGCCUGAUGCAGCAACGCCGCGUGAGGGAUGACGGCCUUCGGGUUGUAAACCUCUUUUAGUAGGGAAGAAGCGCAAGUGACGGUACCUGCAGAAAAAGCACCGGCUAACUACGUG